GGAGUUAGGUGAAGAGGAGAACGAUGUCCAGGCAGGGGCCGGGGAAGCUCGUGCCAAGGCACUGAGGGGAAGUGCUGCAAUGAACCUCAGAGGCUGGAUCUUGCUGACUCAUCUGGGGUACCAAGGACAGACAAAGGACAUGGAGUCCAGGCCCAGGAGGCGAUACCAGGCCAGCAGUUUCACUGAUGCUCCUGUCAUGACGAUGACUGCCUCCCUCCUCCCCUUGGUCCCUGACUCAGUGUCUGCAGUGACCAGGCACCAGGCAGGGAGCAAGGAACCAAGCCUUUCACCUGCUCCCACCAACUCCUAUGGUGCUCCCUUUCCAAGGCUAGGUCUCCUCUCCACCCAGUUCCUUAUCACGUACCAUGAGAAGCUGUCACCUUGGCAACUGUCACCUUCUGGUGAGAUUUACAAUUGCACUGCUACAACUGCUUGUGGCAUGGUAAAGUUGCACCAGGACCUCUGCUGUCCAUGAGAUCAAAGUUCCAGGCCAAGAGACGGGUCUCACUAUGUUGCCCAGGCUGGUCUCAAGUUCCUGGAUUCAAUGUUCUUGCCUUGGCUUCUCAAAGUACCAGGAUUAUAGGCAUGAGCCACUGUGCCAGGCCCAAACCUAGCUUCUGAGUGGAAAAAUUUCUGCUGCCCCACCAGCUUCAGGAAGUGGGAGUCAACUCUAGUCACUGUGGUGAUGCAGAGAUAAUACGGCUGAUAAACCCCUUAUUUUUCUCUCC
ensembl:lncRNA FLJ40194 uncharacterized FLJ40194